rnacentral:lncRNA from 1 species
UGGAAUUACAUGUACGAAAGUUUAGUAGUAGCGUAUGAAUAUAGAAACCCAAUUAACGCUACAUAUAAUUCUCGGGAUUGUGGUGAGGAAGAUGAUGAAAUGCUAACUACUCAAGAUUGGACUAACGUUAAAAUACUUUUAGAUUUUUUAGAAUACUUUCAUGUGGCUACAAAUGCUAUUUCUAGCCAGUAUUAUCUGACUAUUUCUAACUGUUUAGUUUAUAUUGCCGCACUUGCUAAUUUGUUUGUUGA